CUUCUCCCCACCUCAAACCCUCCCACUCCCCCGCCGCCGCCGCCGUUUCCUCCUCCGACCGGCGAGGCUGACGGCCAUGGCGUCCGAGGACCCGCGCAUCGCCAAGAUCGCCUCCACCAUCCGCGUCAUCCCCGACUUCCCCAAGCCGGGGAUCAUGUUUCAGGAUAUCACCACUAUGCUUCUUGAUCCGAAGGCGUUCCAGGAUACUAUUGAUUUGUUUGUUGAGAGAUAUAAAGGGAAAGGGAUCACUGUUGUUGCAGGGAUUGAAGCAAGAGGCUUCAUAUUUGGCCCUCCAAUUGCCCUGGCUAUUGGAGCAAAGUUUGUCCCCAUGAGGAAGCCAAAGAAGUUGCCUGGUGAAGUUAUUUCUGAAGAGUAUUCUUUAGAAUAUGGCACAGACAUAAUGGAGAUGCAUGUAGGAGCUGUCCAGCCAGGAGAAAAAACCCUCGUCAUUGAUGACCUUAUUGCCACUGGUGGGACCUUGGCUGCAGCAGUGAGGUUACUCGAACGUGUCGGUGCUGAAGUGGUUGAAUGUGCUUGUGUUAUCGAAUUGGCAGAACUAAAGGGUCGGGAGAAAUUAGGAGAGAGGCCUGUCUUUGUUCUUAUCAAAGCUCUUUGAUCGAGGCUUGAGACAGUUGGAAUCUUGGAGUUCUAAAUGAUUCAUCCAGAGGUUGAGCGUUCUGAACUGAGGAAUUUGUUUGAAUGGGUAUCUC
rnacentral:misc_RNA from 1 species